UCCGUAGGGUGCGAGCGUUAAUCGGAAUUACUGGGCGUAAAGCGUGCGCAGGCGGUUUGUUAAGCCAGAUGUGAAAGCCCCGGGCUCAACCUGGGAACUGCGUUUGGUACUGGCAAGCUAGAGUACGGCAGAGGGGGGUGGAAUUCCACGUGUAGCAGUGAAAUGCGUAGAGAUGUGGAGGAACACCGAUGGCGAAGGCAGCCCCCUGGGCCGAUACUGACGCUCAGGCACGAAAGCGUGGGGAGCAAACAGG
rnacentral:rRNA from 1 species